UGGGGAAUAUUGCACAAUGGGCGCAAGCCUGAUGCAGCCAUGCCGCGUGUGUGAAGAAGGCCUUCGGGUUGUAAAGCACUUUCAGCGAGGAGGAAGGUGGUGAGCUUAAUACGCUCAUCAAUUGACGUUACUCGCAGAAGAAGCACCGGCUAACUCCGUGCCAGCAGCCGCGGUAAUACGGAGGGUGCAAGCAUUAAUCGGAAUUACUGGGCGUAAAGCGCACGCAGGCGGUUUGUUAAGUCAGAUGUGAAAUCCCCGGGCUCAACCUGGGAACUGCAUUUGAAACUGGCAAGCUAGAGUCUCGUAGAGGGGGGUAGAAUUCCAGGUGUAGCGGUGAAAUGCGUAGAGAUCUGGAGGAAUACCGGUGGCGAAGGCGGCCCCCUGGACGAAGACUGACGCUCAGGUGCGAAAGCGUGGGGCAGCAAACAGGAUUAGAUACCCUGGUAGUCCACGCUGUAAACGAUGUCGAUUUGGAGGUUGUGCCCUUGAGGCGUGGCUUCCGGAGCUAACGCGUUAAAUCGACCGCCUGGGGAG
rnacentral:rRNA from 1 species